rfam:Camponotus floridanus CamFlo_1.0_1.contig3170, whole genome shotgun sequence.
AUACUUACCUGGCGUAGAGGCUACCGUGAUCAACAAGGCGGUUCCUCCAGGGAGAGGCCUUUUACCAUUGCACUACGGUUUAAGGCUGACCUCUGCGAAUGUCCCUAAUGUGGAUAUCUCGGACGUACAAUUUUUGUUAGCCGGGACUGCGUUCGCGCUCUCCCGU